AUAUAACUAAGCGGAGGAAAAGAAACAAACAUGAAUCGAACUAGUAACGGCGAGUGAAGAUUCGAAAGCUCACACUGAAAAUCCUUCGGGAAUUGUAGUCUAGAAAGGGAAUACCAGCUUUUAUCUUAUAUACUAAAUCUUUUGGGAAAAAGUACUAGAAAAGGUGAGAGUCCUGUUCUGUGUAUAUUUGUAUAAUUGCGCACGGUAUCCUUUUAACGAGUCAGAUUUCUUGCGACUGAAGUCUAAAUUCGAGGUAAAUUUCUUGAAAAGCUAAAUAUUAGUGAGAGACCGAUAGCGAACAAGUACCGUGAGG
rnacentral:rRNA from 1 species